UUAUUUGUUUAACAUGAUCCAUGUUCGAUUCGUUAAUAACAUCCGUAACGUUGAAUUUGUUAUCUCCAUGCAAGAACUUGAUCGUUCUAUGAAAUUGGAACAUAAUAAUUCUAUCAAUAGUAUUGUCCGAAAAAUAAGCGUCAUUUCGACAACUCUGCUCACAUUGGGUCUAAUUGCCACUAUUGUCACUGCAACAGUCUUUCUCGCCAUGCCAGUUAUGUUGAUAGUAGUAACAAUAACUUUAAGCGAAGUUACAAACAUCUUGGAUUUAAGUCAUUGCUCUACUCUUAUGGCUUACUACACCAUUCGCAUACGUUUUGUUAACUCUAUAAUCGACAACCACACGACCAGAAUCAGCAAGUAUGACUCAUAUGAUACAAUAAUUUAUUCGAAGAAUUAUAUGCGGGAGUUGGCUGCAAAAACUCACGAUCUCAGAUAUAGUGACACUGAUAUUUAUUUGAAAGAAAUCAUCAAAAGCUUUUCCAAGUUUCGAAGUCUAUACCAAUUCCAGAUGUUAGUGUUUAUCUGCAAAAUGAUAACAGCGGGUGCAAUAUAUCUGCAAGUAGUAACAACCGGGUUACAAUUUAAUUUGAUCGGGAUUUUAGAGUGGAUAACAAUUACAAGUUUCGUACUCAGCAACAUGUGUGUAGCUCUCUUUAUAUGUAUACGAUGCGAAAUAUUCUUAAGGGAAUUUAAAGAGACUAAGCAAUUGUGUCUAUCAGUGAUGUCUGUUUACACGAAUGGUACGUAAUAACUAGCAAAAGUAGCAUAAUAAAUUAAUAACGCUCCAGAGUCAAGUAAGUAUAAAAUCAACCUAAAAUUGUCAUUUUCUUUAUAGGUCCUAUCAGAAGAAAAGCCAAGAAAAUGCUUAGAACAAUAGAGACCAACCCUCCUCGAUUCUCUGUAUACGGCAUGUGGGAUAUCGAAGGAAUGUACCUCCUUCACUUAUUUAGUACUAUCACAACUAUGUUUGUAACGGAACUGCAAUUGUUGCUCUUGUAAAGUGUGUUUGCUUUCAAAAUAAAUA